GAUGAACGCUGGCGGCGUGCCUAAUACAUGCAAGUAGAACGCUGAAGGAAGGAGCUUGCUCUUUCCGGAUGAGUUGCGAACGGGUGAGUAACGCGUAGGUAACCUGCCUGGUAGCGGGGGAUAACUAUUGGAAACGAUAGCUAAUACCGCAUAACAGUAGAUGUUGCAUGACAACUAUUUGAAAGGGGCAAUUGCUCCACUACCAGAUGGACCUGCGUUGUAUUAGCUAGUUGGUGAGGUAACGGCUCACCAAGGCGACGAUACAUAGCCGACCUGAGAGGGAGAUCGGCCACACUGGGACUGAGACACGGCCCAGACUCCUACGGGAGGCAGCAGUAGGGAAUCUUCGGCAAUGGACGGAAGUCUGACCGAGCAACGCCGCGUGAGUGAAGAAGGUUUUCGGAUCGUAAAGCUCUGUUGUAAGAGAAGAACGAGUGUGAGAGUGGAAAGUUCACACUGUGACGGUAUCUUACCAGAAAGGGACGGCUAACUACGUG
rnacentral:rRNA from 1 species